rnacentral:rRNA from 1 species
CGUAGGGGUCGAGCGUUGUCCGGAGUUACUGGGCGUAAAGCGCAUGCAGGCGGCUCAUUACGCACGGCGUGAAAGCCCCCGGCUCAACCGGGGAGGGUCGUCGUGUACGGGUGAGCUUGAGGGUAUCAGGGGCUGGUGGAAUUCCCGGUGUAGUGGUGAAAUGCGUAGAGAUCGGGAGGAACACCUGUGGCGAAGGCGGCCAGCUGGGGAUACACCUGACGCUGAGAUGCGAAGGCGUGGGGAGCGAACGGGAUU